UACGAAGGGGGCUAGUCGUUGAUUCGGAAUCAGCUAGGGCGUAAGGUGCGUAGGGCUGGUUUUAAGUCAGGGGUGAAAUCCUGGAGCUCAACUCCAGAACUGCCUUUGAUACUGAAAAUCUUGAGUCCGGGAGAGGUGAGUGGAACUGCGAGUGUAGAGGUGAAAUUCGUAGAUAUUCGCAAGAACACCAGUGGCGAAGGCGGCCAACUGGUCCGGUACUGACGCUGAGGUGCGAAAAGCGUGGGGAGCAAACAGGG
rnacentral:rRNA from 1 species